UGCCCGCUAUGUCCCUGUUUCC
rnacentral:misc_RNA from 1 species